rnacentral:lncRNA from 1 species
UACUCAACAUUGAAGGGAAAAUGACAGCAACCAUUGCGCCUAAUCAUACAAUAGAAGCCCUUCACCCAAAAAAUGUACACAACCUUGUUUACUCAUGGUCAGCUGCUGAUCAGAUCCAUCGCUUCCUUUUUCCACUAGGAUUCCGCGGAGAAAACAGAGAGACCACCAUGCUUCUGCUGCUAAAUCUGACUAACUAACAUCUCUUUCUUCUUCCUCUUCAACUACUCUGCAACCUCCGACUCUUCUUGAUCCUCCAACGGAACUUCUUCUUUGUUCAUUUCUCCACCACCACUCUCGUUAUUCCCGCUACUAUGCUUGAAAAACAUACCAGAAGACGAAGCAUCAUCAUCGUCAAGCUCUUCCUCGUCUGUUUCCUUGUCUUUUAAUCUUGAGCUUGUCUCGCCAUUCAUCCACUUGGGGCAGCGUUGCGUGACACCCAAGUC